UGGGGAAUAUUGCGCAAUGGGGGCAACCCUGACGCAGCAAUGCCGCGUGAAGGAUGAAGGUUUUCGGAUUGUAAACUUCUUUUAUCAAGGACGAAGAAUUGACGGUACUUGAUGAAUAAGCCACGGCUAACUACGUGCCAGCAGCCGCGGUAAUACGUAGGUGGCAAGCGUUGUCCGGAUUUACUGGGUGUAAAGGGCGAGUAGGCGGGAUUGCAAGUCAGAUGUGAAAUGCCGGGGCUUAACCCCGGAGCUGCAUUUGAAACUGUAGUUCUUGAGUAUCGGAGAGGCAGGCGGAAUUCCCGGUGUAGCGGUGGAAUGCGUAGAUAUCGGGAGGAACACCAGUGGCGAAGGCGGCCUGCUGGACGACAACUGACGCUGAGGAGCGAAAGCGUGGGGAGCAAACAGG
rnacentral:rRNA from 1 species